GACGAACGCUGGCGGCGUGCCUAACACAUGCAAGUCGAACGGAGUUAAGUGCUUCGGUAUUUAACUUAGUGGCGAACGGGUGAGUAACGCGUGAGAAACCUGCCUUUCAGUGGGGGACAACAGUUGGAGACGACUGCUAAUACCGCAUGAUACUUUUUGGGGGCAUCCCUAAAAAGUCAAAGCUUUAUGUGCUGAAAGAUGGUCUCGCGUCUGAUUAGCUAGUUGGUGAGGUAAUGGCUCACCAAGGCGACGAUCAGUAGCCGACCUGAGAGGGUGACCGGCCACAUUGGGACUGAGACACGGCCCAA
rnacentral:rRNA from 1 species